UUCCAGGUAUUAUCCUUUCCAUUACCCAUUUUUCUUUCAUUCUCUGCUCCCAGUUUCGAUCUGAUCCCGUGCUGAAUUUGAAGUUGGUCCUCCACUCCUUCAAAUUUCGGGCGAAGCUCUAAAAAGGGAAUUGGGAAUCUUGGGUGUCUAUUGGAAGUUCAGGAUGCUUAGAUUACAGCUCAUACUUGGUUUACAACAUUAGCAAGAAUGAAUUUCGGGAUAUUGUUCAGCAGCUUACUGGAUCACCCUCCCAGGAUCAUCCACCUAGACCUCCACACAAUCCACCGGAGCCGCAGAGCAUGCGACUGCAGAAAAUUAGACCUCCCCCGUUAACGCCAAUCAAUCGGCCUCGUAUGCCCCCCGCUGCUACCCGAAUACACCUAUGGAGACCGAAUACGCAGAGGCUAACCGAAUACGCAGGAGGGUAACCGAAUACAGUUUCACAUGCUUUUCUUCAAUCGCCUGUAACCGGAUACGCCCGUCUUCGAACCGAAUACAGUUUCAGCGUUCUUCCUCUUUUCCAGUGAACGCAGAGUCCUCUUCUUCAUCUUACAGGGGCAUUUCAGAGAAAGUGCAUUUGAUCCCUCUAAAUCUCCUCACAUAUGCGGGUGAGUGAAGAAUAAAAAUGAAUCCUGCCAUUCACUUCAAUUCCAUCAGCGCAAUUCAGUUCAAGUGAACGCGUAAUUACCUUUCAUUCCUCGCUCUCCAAUCUUCGUAAACAGUAUGACACCCUCAAGUCAACUCAGCGUUAAAGAAAAUCAGUGUACACGAUGAAACAAAUCUCACGGUGACAGCAACAACACGAAAUCUCCAUAAAUUUCAACCUUUUAUGAAGUAGAAAUGACAUGUCUAUUUUUAUCUUUAUUCUUUCAUCUUCUUCUCUAUAUAUCACUUCUAGUCUCGUUCCUCUCUCCUACACUCUU